rnacentral:rRNA from 1 species
GAUGAACGCUGGCGGCGUGCCUAAUACAUGCAAGUCGAACGAACGGACGAGCAUUUUUCUUCUCUGAUGUUAGCGGCGGACGAGUGAGUAACAAGUCGAUAACCUACCUAUAAGCCUGGGAUAACUACGGGAAACCGGAGCUGAUAACGGAUAAUAUUUUGAACCGCAUGGUUCAAAAGUGAUAGACGGUCUUGCUGUCACUUGUAGGUGGUUCCGCGCUGCAUUAGCGAGUUGGUAAGGUAACGGGUUACCAAGGCAACGAUGCAUAGCCGACCUGAGAGGGUGAGCGGGCACACUGGAGCUGUGACACGGUCCAGACUCCUCUGGGGGGCAGAAGUGUGGGAAAUACUGCAAUGGGCGAGAGCGUGGCGGGGCGACGCGGCGUGAGUGGUGAGGGGGUCUGGGUCGUGUGACUCUGUUUCUAGAGAGAAGAAUAUGUUUAUGUUUCUGGUCACGUUUAGGCGGUAUCUAUUCAGAAAGCGACGGCUAACUACGUG